UUCCCUACUGACAAGAGAUCGCUAGAGCCUAAUUUUUCCACAGCUGGUGAGCUCGAAAAGGUUGCCUCAGAAUCCGCCAUUGUAUAUAUGAAUGCUUACACGAUGAUCUAUAAAAUUACUUUCCAAAACGUACCAAUAAUUGGCCACAAGAAUCACUUUCCCAGAUGAAAGAGUCUGCACAAGAUCAGGCAAAGAAACAACAGCUAUAUCAACCUGAAAACGACUGAGAAGGCGCUGAAAGAUAUGUAUAGUUCUGAA
rnacentral:misc_RNA from 1 species